AGAGUUUGAUCCUGGCUCAGAUUGAACGCUGGCGGCAGGCCUAACACAUGCAAGUCGAGCGGUAGCACAGAGAGCUUGCUCUCGGGUGACGAGCGGCGGACGGGUGAGUAAUGUCUGGGAAACUGCCUGAUGGAGGGGGAUAACUACUGGAAACGGUAGCUAAUACCGCAUAAUGUCGCAAGACCAAAGUGGGGGACCUUCGGGCCUCAUGCCAUCAGAUGUGCCCAGAUGGGAUUAGCUAGUAGGUGGGGUAAUGGCUCACCUAGGCGACGAUCCCUAGCUGGUCUGAGAGGAUGACCAGCCACACUGGAACUGAGACACGGUCCAGACUCCUACGGGAGGCAGCAGUGGGGAAUAUUGCACAAUGGGCGCAAGCCUGAUGCAGCCAUGCCGCGUGUGUGAAGAAGGCCUUCGGGUUGUAAAGCACUUUCAGCGGGGAGGAAGGCGUUAAGGUUAAUAACCUUGGCGAUUGACGUUACCCGCAGAAGAAGCACCGGCUAACUCCGUGCCAGCAGCCGCGGUAAUACGGAGGGUGCAAGCGUUAAUCGGAAUUACUGGGCGUAAAGCGCACGCAGGCGGUCUGUCAAGUCGGAUGUGAAAUCCCCGGGCUCAACCUGGGAACUGCACUCGAAACUGGCAGGCUAGAGUCUUGUAGAGGGGGGUAGAAUUCCAGGUGUAGCGGUGAAAUGCGUAGAGAUCUGGAGGAAUACCGGUGGCGAAGGCGGCCCCCUGGACAAAGACUGACGCUCAGGUGCGAAAGCGUGGGGAGCAAACAGGAUUAGAUACCCUGGUAGUCCACGCCGUAAACGAUGUCGAUUUGGAGGUUGUGCCCUUGAGGCGUGGCUUCCGGAGCUAACGCGUUAAAUCGACCGCCUGGGGAGUACGGCCGCAAGGUUAAAACUCAAAUGAAUUGACGGGGGCCCGCACAAGCGGUGGAGCAUGUGGUUUAAUUCGAUGCAACGCGAAGAACCUUACCUGGUCUUGACAUCCACAGAACUUAGCAGAGAUGCUUUGGUGCCUUCGGGAACUGUGAGACAGGUGCUGCAUGGCUGUCGUCAGCUCGUGUUGUGAAAUGUUGGGUUAAGUCCCGCAACGAGCGCAACCCUUAUCCUUUGUUGCCAGCGGUUAGGCCGGGAACUCAAAGGAGACUGCCAGUGAUAAACUGGAGGAAGGUGGGGAUGACGUCAAGUCAUCAUGGCCCUUACGACCAGGGCUACACACGCGCUACAAUGGCAUAUACAAAGAGAAGCGACCUCGCGAGAGCAAGCGGACCUCAUAAAGUAUGUCGUAGUCCGGAUUGGAGUCUGCAACUCGACUCCAUGAAGUCGGAAUCGCUAGUAAUCGUAGAUCAGAAUGCUACGGUGAAUACGUUCCCGGGCCUUGUACACACCGCCCGUCACACCAUGGGAGUGGGUUGCAAAAGAAGUAGGUAGCUUAACCUUCGGGAGGGCGCUUACCACUUUGUGAUUCAUGACUGGGGUGAAGUCGUAACAAGGUAACCGUA
rnacentral:rRNA from 1 species